rnacentral:rRNA from 1 species
GAUGAACGCUAGCGGCAGGCCUAAUACAUGCAAGUCGAACGGUAACAGGUGUAGCAAUACAUGCUGACGAGUGGCGCACGGGUGCGUAACGCGUAUGCAAUCUACCUUUAACUGGUGAAUAGCCCGAAGAAAUUCGGAUUAAUACACCAUAGUAUAGUUGAGUGGCAUCACUUAACUAUUAAAACUCCGGUGGUUAAAGAUGAGCAUGCGUGACAUUAGCUAGUUGGUGAGGUAAUGGCUCACCAAGGCUACGAUGUCUAGGGGAUCUGAGAGGAUUAACCCCNCA